UCUGUUAUUAUUUAUUGACAAUUAACUUUGACAAUAGCUAUAGUAGCGUUUAAAAAUCAUAACCGUACCAAACACUAUUUACUUUAGGUAAAUAAUUCACCGAUAGUAAAUAAUAAUGAUAACCGCUAUAUCGACUGACAAAUAUACCACCACUACACACUUCUACAUUUAUUUUAUAAAAUAGUAAGUAUGUUUAAUUUGUUAUCAAUACCUUGUGUAUAUUUUUCCAGCAUUUAGCAAUUAUAUGUUUUGGUUAAUUUGACACAUUUUGAUUAGUCAUGCGAUUUGUACGUCUUAAUUUCAUAGUAUAUUAUAAUAAUAUAGUAUCAUAACUUACUAGAUCUAUGAACUUGUCAACAUUUAUUGUGUUUUAAAUAAUAACAUUGAUAUUAAAUAUCCAUAAUCAAUGUGAAUACCAAGAUGGAGUUUUGCUCAAGUGACAAGUCUAUAAAACCUAUAACCUUACUUAUAAAAUGUAUGCACAUCAAAUAUCAAAAUUAAAGUAUUAUGUCUUUGUUCUGAGAAACUUAUAAAUGUGUAGUUUUGUGUUUUAACAUAUUGGUAUCUGAAUUCAAAGAAAAAAUAUAAAAUUUUUUAUGAAAAAAUUGAAUCUUCAAUCAUCAUUUACUGAAUCAAUAAUAGUAUGUUCAAUAUUAAUAUGGACUAUCUCAACUUAAAUUGAUAUUUGUUAUUGUCUACAACUACACUACUACCAACGUCAAAUUUGGUGUAUUAUAUUA